CAUAUCAAGAAAUGUAAUCAUGCUGAUAUAUUCCAUGCUAGUCAGGCCAUAACUGGACAACUACAUUCCAUUCUAAGCACAAUGCCUAAGGAAACUAGUAUAGGUCCAGAGGAAUGUAUACAGAACUGAAAAAGGAUCAGAACCCAUGUCACAUGAGCCAUAUUAGAAGGAAUCAAGAUUGCUUAGCACAGGAAAAGAAAGACUCAUAAGAUACAACUAUCUUCAAAUAUAUGUGGGUCUACUAGAGAAAACAGAGCCAGGCAAGGUGGCUCACACCUACAGUCCCAGCUACUUCAGGCUGAGGUAGAAUAUUUGCAACCAUACACCUGAUUAGGGGUUAAUAUCCAAAAUAUAUAAGGAACUCAAACAACUCAAUAGCAAGACAACAAUCCAAUUUUAAAAAACGAGCAAAGGACCCAAAUAGACAUUUCUCAAAAGACAUAUAAAUGGCCGGCUAGUAUGUGAAAAAAUGCUCAGCAUCACUAGUCAUCAGAAAAAUGCAAAUCAAAACCACAAUGGGAUAAUACUCAUACUUCUUAGGACGACUACUAUCAAAAAGAUAAAAGACAACUGUUGGCAUGGACGUGGAGAAAAGAGAACACUUGAACAUUGUUGGUUGAGAAGAAUAUAAAUUAGUACAACCAUUAUGGAAAACAGUAUGGAGGUUCCUCAAAAAAUUAAAACAUAACUACCAUAUGAUCCAGCAAUCCCACUUCUGGGUAUAGAUCCUAAGGAAAUGAAAUCAGUAUCUCAAAGAGGUAUCUGCACUCUCACGUUCCCUGCAGCAUUAUUCAUAACAGUAAGAGAUAUGGAAUCAACCUAAAUGU
rnacentral:lncRNA from 1 species